rnacentral:rRNA from 1 species
CUACGUGCCAGCAGCCGCGGUAAUACGGGGGGUGCGAGCGUUAAUCGGAAUAACUGGGCGUAAAGGGCACGCAGGCGGUGACUUAAGUGAGAUGUGAAAGCCCCGGGCUUAACCUGGGAAUUGCAUUUCAUACUGGGUCGCUAGAGUACUUUAGGGAGGGGUAGAAUUCCACGUGUAGCGGUGAAAUGCGUAGAGAUGUGGAGGAAUACCGAAGGCGAAGGCAGCCCCUUGGGAAUGUACUGACGCUCAUGUGCGAAAGCGUGGGGAGCAAACAGGAUUAGAUACCCUGGUAGUCCACGCUGUAAACGAUGUCGAUUUGGGGAUUGGGCUUUAAGCUUGGUGCCCGUAGCUAACGUGAUAAAUCGACCGCCUGGGGAGUACGGCCGCAAGGUUAAAACUCAAAUGAAUUGACGGGGGCCCGCACAAGCGGUGGAGCAUGUGGUUUAAUUCGAUGCAACGCGAAGAACCUUACCUACUCUUGACAUCCAUGGAAUCUUGUAGAGAUACGAGAGUGC